GCAGAUUAUAGUUACAUUUCAAUAGUUAUCUGAUUAGUAAAUUCUCAUUUCCAAGCACUACACUAUUAGAUGGCAUAUUAUUACAUUGCAAGUUGUAUAAAAUCUUAUUGGUUGUUCUAUAAGCAAGUAGCUUUCAUCAAAGGCCAUUUCAAGAAAAAAAGUUUUUAUCUACAUGUUUGCAUGCAUAUGCAUCAAAGAGAUGGGAUCUCACGGUAUGAGGUAGAACCUUCAGCAACACCCUUGCAAACAUCAUCUCUGCAGAGAGGACAUACCCCAUGUACUUCUUUGAGCCAUUUAUCAACACAUGACAUGUGAUAUUCAUGAGAACAUGGAAGAACUCUAAUUUCAUCCCCUUCCUCAUAGUCGACCAAGCAAAUGUGACACUGUUGUGCAUCACGCAUCCCACUCUCAGUUUCAAAUGGCUUUUUAUGAUUCUUGAGGGGAAACGAAUUUACAACAGCAUCAGGAGCAGGAAGAGUGAGCAUAGACUGCGAAAGAGACAUGCGAUGUUGAUGAAUUUCCUCAAGCACCUCAAAAAGUGCAUCUGCAAGCAUGAAUAUUUGUGAAAUGUUUGCACGGCUACUGGACUCCUCAUCGGUGAAUGAGGAUCCACAUGAACAUGUACCGCGUGGAUGACGCCUUCUUGAACACAAAGAACCUUGCCAGCCUAGCUCAUCAUGGACAUCAUGAAAUCCUUCUGGCAUCUCAAAUCUUGAUUGCCGUUGUCGUCCACUUCUACGAUCACUCCUAGUGCCAGGGUAUCUAGACUCACGACCACUGCCAUCAUAAUGAAGAUCACCACUAAAAU
rnacentral:misc_RNA from 1 species